rnacentral:lncRNA from 10 species
AAAAUAGUUUCCGAUCUUUGGGAUUCCCGAGAUGGUCCAAUCUGCAAAAAGUUCAUUGCCAUUUCCAUCAAGGACACUGAGAACAAGAGUCUUAUCCGGAUUGGAUCCUGGGAAUUGAGAAGCUUCAGCAGGGCUUCCGCUGGGACUAGGAUCAGGAUGUGGACACCCCCAACCUGGACCGUCUGGCCGGGGAGGGCGUCAAGGCCAAGUACCUCAUGCCGCCCCUUGUCACAAUGACCUCCCCGUCCCACCUCACUGCCAUCCCAGCCCCAGGGCCUUGGCCUGCGCUAGUCCA